rnacentral:lncRNA from 1 species
CCACUAUAAAAUUGUUGAAAAUCACUAUAAAUUUAUCAAAGACAAAGCCUGACAUUAUGAAAACUACUCCGUAUAAACAACUAUAUAAACAUGAAAACCACUUGAUAUAAAACAAUUAUAUAAACAUGAAAACCACAUUAUAUACACAACUAUAUAAACAUCGAAAAUCACUAUGAAUUCUAACAAGAAAACAUCAAAAAUUCUGCGAAAAAGAAGCUAUAAAACCACUAUAAAGGACACCAUCUUCUCUCGAAUGAAC